rnacentral:rRNA from 1 species
AAAUGUGAACAAUCGGGCAUGAAAACAUGUGUAGUAUGAUGCUUAUCAGGAUCCCAUCAGAACUUCGAAGUUAAACGUGCUUGGGCGAGAGUAGUACUAAGAUGGGUGACCUCUUGGGAAGUCCUCGUGUUGCACCCC